AGACGUGGUUUUUUUAUUUUUCCGAUCCGUGUUCUGCCCACCGUAAUCACCGGCCCAUUCAGUAUUAGUAUCAGAAACGAUGAGGGGCAAUCAAAAUGCAAAAUUACAUGAGAACAAAUUAAGAAAACACUGUGCUUUCACUUUCAGGUCGAAACGUGCAAUUAAUAAGCAAUCCACAGGACAGGACAGGGCAGGACCUCCGACUUUCCGAGGGGUACAACAAGUCAGUCGUCAGUCAGGGAGUCAGUAAAGGCAAAGACGUCUAGAAUAUGACUUAUUUAAGUCCGGGAGCCGCGUGUUAAUAACUUUUCCAUGCAAACUUUUCCACCCAUGUGAGUGGAGUGUCCUUCACAUGAUUUUCCUUCUGCGUUCCUUCAGCCGCUGCUGCUGCGUGCGGCAACCAGAUUAAAGUGACAGACAGGGGAGGCACGGCUACGCAGGUGAAAUAACAAAAGGUGCUUAAGUCCUUGUAACUGUUUAAGUCGUCUAAGGACGAACGCCGACCGACGACCGACGACCGACGGAUGGGAAGCCCACCGGGGGCUUACAGCUACAGCCUAUCAUCAUUCCCUUUGGGAAAUCUUCCUGCCUUUACUGAAAAGUUUCUUUUUAUUUGAUUGCGACAAACAUUCGCAUCUCAUGCGACAACAGACAAAAUGUCAAAAGACAUUUUUGUGCAAAACAAUUGCCAGGGCACGAAAAACUUUUGUGCACUCGCACAACUUUUCCUCAACUAUGUGCCUGAUUAAAUAAAGAUUUUUCCUAGCUUUUGGAAAAGUUGGUCAAGUGGGAGAAGCAUCCAUGUAUCCAUGUUGCAUAAGUAAAUAUGCAAAAUUGCCAUCAAAGUAGUGUUUAUACCUUCUUUUGGCAAUUGUUGUUGGAUAUCUUGCAACAUCUCAAAAGGGACUCCACACCCAGAACAACUAAGGACUGCUUUGCUUUCGUACAAGUUCGGGAUUUAUUUUGUUAGGAAAUAUGAAAAACUUUUCUUAGCAGCGAAGGAUUAAGAACGAAAGCUUGAAAGGAGCUACUGAAGAGCUGAUUGAAUUUAAGUUAAAUUUUCCAUAUACAUGGAACUUAGGCUAUCCCCUGAAGUGGAUUGUUUCUAUAACCGUUUUUUCCUAAAACCGAUUUUAUAUUGAUUUUCGAAAAUAUUCUUCACUUGCAAACUAUUAUAUUAUAUGUCAUCUGAAGCUUUAAACAUGAUCAUGUUA